AUCCAACUGAUGAGUCCCAAACGAGGCGAAACACCAGUCCUGGAU
rfam:Schistosoma mattheei strain Denwood, Zambia genome assembly, scaffold: SMTD_scaffold0002165